GGAAGAGUGGCCGAGUGGUUGAAGGCACAUCUCUCGAAAAGAUGCAGGGGGCAACUCCUCGUGAGUUCAAAUCUCACCUCUUCCG
rnacentral:tRNA from 1 species